rnacentral:rRNA from 1 species
UGGGGAAUUUUGGACAAUGGGCGCAAGCCUGAUCCAGCCAUGCCGCGUGCGGGAAGAAGGCCUUCGGGUUGUAAACCGCUUUUGUCAGGGAAGAAAUCUUCUGAGUUAAUACCUCGGGAGGAUGACGGUACCUGAAGAAUAAGCACCGGCUAACUACGUGCCAGCAGCCGCGGUAAUACGUAGGGUGCAAGCGUUAAUCGGAAUUACUGGGCGUAAAGCGUGCGCAGGCGGUUUUGUAAGACAGAGGUGAAAUCCCCGGGCUCAACCUGGGAACUGCCUUUGUGACUGCAAGGCUUGAGUGCGGCAGAGGGGGAAUGGAAUUCCGCGUGNUAGCAGUGAAAUGCGUAGAUAUGCGGAGGAACACCGAUGGCGAAGGCAAUCCCCUGGGCCUGCACUGACGCUCAUGCAC